GACAGAGGGUGCUAGCGUUGUUCGGAAUUACUGGGCGUAAAGGGCGCGUAGGCGGCUUGUUUAGUCGGGUGUGAAAUCCCGGGGCUCAACUCCAGAACUGCCUUCGAUACUGGCGAUCUAGAGUCCGGAAGAGGUGAGUGGAACUCCUAGUGUAGAGGUGGAAUUCGUAGAUAUUAGGAAGAACACCAGUGGCGAAGGCGGCUCACUGGUCCGGUACUGACGCUGAGGUGCGAAAGCGUGGGGAGCAAACAGG
rnacentral:rRNA from 1 species